AUUCUUGAUGUCUCUGCAAGACUGUUUUGGGGGUGAAAUUAACAGGCAAGUUGGUGAGCUUUGGUGAAGCAAACAACCUUACAUGAUGUGAGUGGUCCUUGUGCCCAGUUGAAGCCGUGAGUAAAACAAAGUCUGACAUAGCCUUGAGCAAGAAAGAACUCUACCUCCAGACAACUUCGGGGGCAGGUGCAAAGUUGGUGCUGCCCUGGGUCUCUAGCUGCCAGCUUCCCCGACAGGCUUCGGGUGCCCAUAGCCCCACAAUCAAGGAAUCCAGUUUCUAAAAUUAACCUACCUCUCUCUUUUCCCCUUCCUCCUCCCACUCUUCCUCGCUCUUCCUCCCGCUAGUUCUGUGGCCCUGCAGACUCCUGACUGAACUAACACAGUUGGGGAGAAUAAGCCGUAAAAAGGGGAGCUUUUCUGUCCUUUCACUUUGCACUGAUGCCCCAUCCAUCCUCCCUUUCUGCUUGCCAUGGUAAAUGGUGUCCGACGUAACACAGAUGCACUGUGCACUGGAGAGGCAGAGCAUCCUGCCUUCCACAGCCGUGCACACCAGUCCCUGUGCACAAGUGGCCACCCACCCAGCGAAUCGACGUGGUGUGCUUAUCAAAAUCUGUGUGUCUGUGGGCCAGAGCCAAAUCCAGGUAAGCUGGGUCCCUCCUUGGGUCCACCGAGUGAUUCACAGUAUCCGCCAGACUGUAUUCGCCUCCCAAGCCUGAGGUCCGCUUCCCAGCAGAGCCCUCGCUGUUGGCACACUAGUCUGAACCCCAUUUCCUAGCAGGAUAUUGACGGAUGUCCUUACUGGUAAGGCUGUCUGGGACUCUCAGUGAAAAGACCGGCCAUGUGUGCCUCCAGAUGGUACUAGAUCCAGGUGCUAGAACAAGAUGAGCAAGUGAAUCUCUCAUACUUCAGAUCCUUCAAGGAUCUUGAAAAGGUUGGGGGUUUGUUUGAUUGUUGGUUGGUUUGUUCUUGUUUUGUUUUGUUUUGUUUUUUGAGACAGGGUUUUUCUGUGUAGCUUUGGCUGUCCUGGAACUCACUCUGUAGACCAGGCUGGCCUCGAACUCACUAAGAUCCAUCUGCUUCUUCUGCCUCCAGAGCGCUGGAAUCAAAGGCGAACGCCACCACUGCCCGGCCUUGUUUUGUUUUUAAAGACAGUUUUCGGCACACAGAGAGGCUGUGAGUUAGGACGGGGGUUUCUUGCCGUUGCCACCAUUCUCAUUGACACGUUAUGCUGCACACAGCAGAGCCCCAUCCUGAAUGCCCAGCGGUGCCCACAGCCAGGAGGAGCAUUCGAUGUGUGAUGACUCAUCUCGUGCAUCAGACGCUCUCUAAAGUUCCCACAGAUUAUACCAUGGCUUAGUGAGUGCGAUUCUAAGACAGUUCCAAAAGACUUUUCAAUCCGUGGGAGUUUCAAAGUGGAUUCUCAGACAAACAUGGGGAGGACUGAGGCAGGCUUGGACACGCACAGAAUCAGACAACGAUGGGCUGAGGAAGUGGCUCAGCGGUUAAGAGCACUGUCUGCUCUUCCAAAGGUCCGGAGUUCAAAUCCCUGCAACCACAUGGUGGCUCACAACCAACUGUAAUGAGAUCUGGCGCCCUCUUCUGGAGUGUCUGAAGACAGAUACAGUGUACUUACAUAUAGUAAAUAAAUAAAUCUUAAAAAAAAAAAAAACUGA
rnacentral:lncRNA from 1 species